rnacentral:rRNA from 1 species
UGAGUAACCUGUCCUCGGCACCGGGAUAGCCCGGGGAAACCCGGAUUAAUACCGGAUGGCCUUUCGAGUCUUCGGGCUCGUCAGAAAAGGUAGCUUCGGCCUCCGGCCGAGGAGGGACUCGCGGCGGAUUAGCUUGUUGGUGGGGUAACGGCUCACCAAGGCGACGAUCCGUAGCUGGUCUGAGAGGACGAUCAGCCACACUGGGACUGAGACACGGCCCAGACUCCGUACGGGAGGCAG